UAUAUUCAUAAGUACGUCUGAGUCAGUGACAACCCUACAACAGAUGUAUCCAUCGGAUUGCCAUCAAUGAUGGUGAUACAUGGCUGUGUACAUAAUGUAUAUAUAGCAAUUUUACCUGACCAUAUCGGGAAAUAGGUAUUUCGUCGGAUCUUAACAUGUACGUGUGAUUUGUUUAAACCGGUUUUCGAUAAAAAAUAUACGAAGAAAUGUCAAAAUGUUUAGGAUUUAAUUAAAUCCGUAUUUCGGUAAGAUUGUG
rnacentral:lncRNA from 1 species